rnacentral:rRNA from 1 species
GACGAACGCUGGCGGCGUGCCUAAUACAUGCAAGUAGAACGCACAGUUUAUACCGUAGCUUGCUACACCAUAGACUGUGAGUUGCGAACGGGUGAGUAACGCGUAGGUAACCUGCCUGGUAGCGGGGGAUAACUAUUGGAAACGAUAGCUAAUACCGCAUAAUAUUGAUUAUUGCAUGAUAAUUAAUUGAAAGGUGCAAUUGCACCACUACCAGAUGGACCUGCGUUGUAUUAGCUAGUAGGUGAGGUAACGGCUCACCUAGGCGACGAUACAUAGCCGACCUGAGAGGGUGAUCGGCCACACUGGGACUGAGACACGGCCCAGACUCCUACGGGAGGCAGCAGUAGGGAAUCUUCGGCAAUGGACGAAAGUCUGACCGAGCAACGCCGCGUGAGUGAAGAAGGUUGUCGGAUCGUAAAGCUCUGUUGUAAGAGAAGAACGGGUGUGAGAGUGGAAAGUUCACACUGUGACGGUAUCUUACCAGAAAGGGACGGCUAACUACGUG